rnacentral:rRNA from 1 species
UACGUAGGGGCAAGCGUUGUCCGGAAUCAUUGGGCGUAAAGAGCGUGUAGGCGGCCCGGUAAGUCCGCUGUGAAAGUCGGGGGCUCAACCCUCGAAUGCCGGUGGAUACUGUCGGGCUAGAGUGCGGAAGAGGCGAGUGGAAUUCCUGGUGUAGCGGUGAAAUGCGCAGAUAUCAGGAGGAACACCGAUUGCGAAGGCAGCUCGCUGGGACGUAACUGACGCUGAGACGCGAAAGCGUGGGGAGCAAACAGG